CAAACUUCAUCUGCCUCGGCAAGCAAACCUGCGCCAUCAGAACAAACAUCUGCAAGAGCAAUAACCAGGGAUCCAUGGACUGCAGCAUCGGCAUCCAGCUGGCCUUCUCGGGCACAGACAAGCACGAGUCGGUCCUCAACUCGUGGUACGAGGUGUCGAACCUGCAGCAGUACUCGCUCUACGGGCUGUACUCGAACGUGAAGGGGUCCCUGAGCGGCCAGUUCAACAAGUUCUUCUAGGCUCCUGGAAGGCUGGAAUGACCGUUUGUCCAUAGCACUCUCCUGCCACUGCCUGUCGCUGUACUCAAGGGGAGCCCUAGGUUUGCCUGCCCGUCCAGCUGAUUGUACGCAAACUGAUCUAGCUCGUGUGGAAAAUCAAAGCUCAUCGAUAUGCAUGCAUGUACCUAUUGCGAGUCAUUUUAUGCUGAGUAUAUUAUUUGUAUUACUCUUUGCAUUGAACUUCAAAUCAUGUGACGGAUCGAUCGUUCGCUGUCGAUGGCGUCGUGUGCCGUACUGAAGAAACAUCGUCAUGCCCGAUCAGAAUGCGCGUUGAUAUCAACAGCUCGUGCAUCUUUGUAUAUUUUUUGCUCACCUGGGUACGACUAUUUCUUGAUGAUACAGAAAAAUUGGUCUGCUG
rnacentral:lncRNA from 1 species